AUACUUACCUGGCAGGGGAGAUACCACGAUCACGAAGGUGGUUUUCCCAGGGUGAGGCUUAUCCACUGUACUCUGGGUGUGCUGACCCCUGUGAUUUCCCCAAAUGUGGGAAACUGGACUGUAUAAAUUGUGGUAGUUGGGGACUGCGUUCGAGCUCUCCCCUG
ensembl:snRNA U1 U1 spliceosomal RNA